AUGUGCAUGUUGUUGUGGCAGAUGGAUAAAUCCAGAAAGAAACGAGAAGAAAAGGAAUUUGAGGUGGCCAUGGUUGCAUUUGCUAUGGAUGUGGCGUCUUCAAGUGUGACACUGCCGUACGCACCAAGAAAGUUACAUCUUGUUACAGGCCUCCAAUGGGUAGAAAAGAAGGAGAAAGAUGCAAAAGCUUUCUAUGCUAUGUUCAGAAUGAGGAGGUCGGUGUUUCGCACAUUGCAUGAUCUACUAGUUCAGAAGUAUGGGCUUGAGUCAACUUCCAACAUUUCAUCCAAAGAAGCAUUGGCACAAUUUUUAUGGACUGUGGGUACAUGUUAG
rnacentral:rRNA from 1 species